rnacentral:tRNA from 1 species
GGGCGAUUAGCUCAGUGGGAGAGCACCUGCCUUACAAGCAGGGGGUCAGUAGUUCGAAUCUACUAUCGCCCA